AUUGAACGCUGGCGGCGUGCCUAACACAUGCAAGUCGAGCGGUAACAGGUGUAGCAAUACAUGCUGACGAGCGGCGGACGGGUGAGUAACGCUUGGGAAUCUGCCUAUUAGUGGGGGACAACCCGGGGAAACUCGGGCUAAUACCGCAUACGCUCUACGGAGGAAAGCCGGGGACCGCAAGGCCUGGCGCUAAUAGAUGAGCCCAAGUCGGAUUAGCUAGUUGGUAGGGUAAGGCCUACCAAGGCGACGAUCCGUAACUGGUCUGAGAGGACGACCAGUCACACCGGAACUGAGACACGGUCCGGACUCCUACGGGAGGCAGCAGUGGGGAAUAUUGGACAAUGGGCGAAAGCCUGAUCCAGCGACGCCGCGUGGGUGAAGAAGGCCUGCGGGUUGUAAAGCCCUUUCAGUGGGGAAGAAAAGCCUCGACCUAACACGUCGGGGUCUUGACGUAACCCAUAGAAGAAGCACCGGCUAACUCUGUGCCAGCAGCCG
rnacentral:rRNA from 1 species